CAGUAGCCACGGGAAUACAGAGGGUGCGAGCGUUAAUCGGAUUUACUGGGCGUAAAGCGUGCGUAGGCGGCUUUUUAAGUCGGAUGUGAAAUCCCUGAGCUUAACUUAGGAAUUGCAUUCGAUACUGGGAAGCUAGAGUAUGGGAGAGGAUGGUAGAAUUCCAGGUGUAGCGGUGAAAUGCGUAGAGAUCUGGAGGAAUACCGAUGGCGAAGGCAGCCAUCUGGCCUAAUACUGACGCUCAUGCACGAAAGCGUGGGGAGCAAACAGGAUUAGAUACCCCCGUAGUCCCUGUCUCUUAUAC
rnacentral:rRNA from 1 species